UACGUAGGUGGCAAGCGUUGUUCGGAAUUACUGGGCGUAAAGCGCGCGCAGGCGGUUCUCCAAGUCAGUGGUGAAAGCCCGGAGCUCAACUCCGGAACUGCCAUUGAAACUGUUGAACUUGAGGACGAGAGAGGUGAGUGGAAUUCCCAGUGUAGAGGUGAAAUUCGUAGAUAUUGGGAAGAACACCAGUGGCGAAGGCGGCUCACUGGCUCGUAUCUGACGCUCAGGCGCGAUAGCGUGGGGAUCAAACAGG
rnacentral:rRNA from 1 species